rnacentral:rRNA from 1 species
AUACGGAGGAUCCGAGCGUUAUCCGGAUUUAUUGGGUUUAAAGGGUGCGCAGGCGGGAGAUUAAGUCGGCGGUGAAAUUUUGCAGCUCAACUGUAAAAGUGCCUUCGAAACUGGUUUCCUUGAGUGUAGAUGAAGUAGGCGGAAUUUGUGGUGUAGCGGUGAAAUGCAUAGAUAUCACGAGGAACUCCGAUUGCGCAGGCAGCUUACUAAACUACUACUGACGCUUAGGCACGAAGGCGUGGGGAUCAAACAGGAUUAGAUACCCUGGUAGUCCACGCAGUAAACGAUGAUUACUAGCUGUUUGCGAUACAAUGUAAGCGGCUGAGCGAAAGCGUUAAGUAAUCCACCUGGGGAGUACGUUCGCAAGAAUGAAACUCAAAUGAAUUGACGGGG